ACGAACGCUGGGCGGCGUGGAUAAAGACAUGCAAGUCGAGCGCUGAUUACAGAAGUAGCAAUAUUUUUGUAGUCGGAAGCGGCGCAAGGGUGCGUUAACACGUGGGGCAAUCUGCCAUGAAGUCGGGGACAACUUGCUGAAAGGCGAGCUAAUACCGGAUGUGAAUGGUUGGAAGGCAUCUUCCGAUUUUUUUAAAGUUUGGGGGACCGAAAGGCCCUGACGCUUCAUGAUGAGGCCCCGCGGCCUAUCAGCUAGUUGGUGAGGUAACGGCUCACCAAGGCGAAGACGGGUAGCUUGUCUGAGGAGGACGACCAGCCACACACUGGAAACUGAGACAACGGUCCAGACACCUACGGGUUGGCAGCAAGUCCGAGAAUUUUUUCACAAUGGGCGAAAGGCCUGAUGGAGCGACGCCCGCGUGGGGGAUGAAAUUGGCUUCGGCCCGUAAAACCCCUGUCAUUUGCGAUCAACCGUUUAUUAUUUAAAAGAUGAUGACCUGAUAGUAGCGAAAGAGGAAGGGGACGGCUAACUCUGUGCCAGCAGCCGCGGUAAUACAGAGGUCCCGAGCGUUGUUUCGGAUUCACUGGGCGUAAAAGGGUGCGUAAGGGUGGGCGAGGGAAAAGUCGGAUGUUGAAAGCUCGGAGCUCAACUCCGAAAUGGCAUUGGAAAACUACCUUGCUCGAGGGAUGGAGGGGGGAACUGGAAUUCUCGGUGUGUAGCAGUGAAAUGCGUAAGAUAUCGAGAGGAAACACCAAGUGGCGAAGGCGAGGGUCCCUGGACAUCUCCUGACACUGAGGCACGGAAAAGCUAGGGGAGCAAACAGGAUUAGAUACCCUGGUAGUUCCUAGCCGUAAACGGUGCACGUUUGCUGUAAAAAGGAAAUCGACCCCUUUUGUGGGCGUAGCCAACGGGCGUUUAAACGUGCCGCCCUGGGAAGUACGGUCGCAAGAUUAAAAACUCAAAGAAAUUGAACGGGGGCCUGCACAAGCGGUGGAGUAUGUGGCUCAAUUCGAUGCAACGCGAAGAACCUUACCUGGCCUUGACAUGUAUGUAGUAGAAGGGUGAAAGCCUGACGAACCCUCGCAAAGAGGAGCAUACACAGGUGCUGCAUGGCUGUCGUCAGCUCGUGUUGUGAGAUGUUGGGUUAAGUCCCGCAACGAGCGCCAACCCCUGUGUCCUGUUUGGCCAACCGGAUUGAAAAGUCUGGAGCACUCUGGACAAGACUCUGCCUCGCUUAAACGAGGAGGAAGGUGGGGGAAUGGCGUCAAGUCAGUAUGGCCCUUACGGCCAGGGCUGCACACGUACUACAAUGCCCGGCCACAAAGGGAAGCAAGAUCGUAAGAUGGAGCAAAUUCCCCAAAAAACCGGGGCCCAGUUCAGAUUGUCGUCUGCCAACUCGACGGCAUGAAAGCUGGAAUCGCUAGUAAUGGGCGCAUCAGCUACGGCGCCGUGAAUACGUUCCCAGGCCCUUGUACACACCCGCCCGUCACAUCAUGAAAAGCCGUUUUGUACCCGAAGUCGUCGUGCUAACAGCAAUGAGGCAGAUGGCCGAAGGUAUGGAUGGUGAUUGGGAUG
rnacentral:rRNA from 1 species